rnacentral:rRNA from 1 species
CCUACGGGUGGCUGCAGUGGGGAAUAUUGGACAAUGGGGGCAACCCUGAUCCAGCCAUGCCGCGUGUGUGAAGAAGGCCCUCGGGUUGUAAAGCACUUUCAGUGAGGAAGAACGCCUGGUGGUUAAUACCCAUCAGGAAAGACAUCACUCACAGAAGAAGCACCGGCUAACUCCGUGCCAGCAGCCGCGGUAAUACGGAGGGUGCGAGCGUUAAUCGGAAUUACUGGGCGUAAAGCGCGCGUAGGUGGCUUGAUAAGCCGGUUGUGAAAGCCCCGGGCUCAACCUGGGAACGGCAUCCGGAACUGUCAAGCUAGAGUGCAGGAGAGGAAGGUAGAAUUCCCGGUGUAGCGGUGAAAUGCGUAGAGAUCGGGAGGAAUACCAGUGGCGAAGGCGGCCUUCUGGAUUGACACUGACACUGAGGUGCGAAAGCGUGGGUAGCAAACAGGAUUAGAUACCCGUGUAGUC